rnacentral:rRNA from 1 species
CCUACGGGGGGCUGCAGUGGGGAAUAUUGGACAAUGGGGGGAACCCUGAUCCAGCCAUGCCGCAUGUGUGAAGAAGGCCCUCGGGUUGUAAAGCACUUUCAGUGAGGAAGAACGCCUGGUGGUUAAUACCCAUCAGGAAAGACAUCACUCACAGAAGAAGCACCGGCUAACUCCGUGCCAGCAGCCGCGGUAAUACGGAGGGUGCGAGCGUUAAUCGGAAUUACUGGGCGUAAAGCGCGCGUAGGUGGCUUGAUAAGCCGGUUGUGAAAGCCCCGGGCUCAACCUGGGAACGGCAUCCGGAACUGUCAAGCUAGAGUGCAGGAGAGGAAGGUAGAAUUCCCGGUGUAGCGGUGAAAUGCGUAGAGAUCGGGAGGAAUACCAGUGGCGAAGGCGGCCUUCUGGACUGACACUGACACUGAGGUGCGAAAGCGUGGGUAGCAAACAGGAUUAGAUACCCCGGUAGUC